CCGAGUUUACAACUCCUAAACCCCUGUGAACAUACCUAUAUGUUGCCUCGGCGGAUCAGCCCGCGCCCCGUAAAACGGGACGGCCCGCCGCAGGAUCCACAAACUCUGUUUUUAUUGUAACUUCUGAGUAACAAAACAAAUAAAUCA
rnacentral:misc_RNA from 1 species